rnacentral:rRNA from 1 species
CCUACGGGUGGCAGCAGCUAAGAAUAUUCCGCAAUGGACGAAAGUCUGACGGAGCGACGCCGCGUGGAUGAAGAAGGCCGCAAGGUUGUAAAAUCCUUUUGCUGGGGAAGAAUAAGUCCAGGAGGGCAUGCCUGGAUGAUGACAUGAACCGGCGAAUAAGCCCCGGCCAACUACGUGCCAGCAGCCGCGGUAACACGUAGGGGGCAAGCGUUGUUCGGAAUUACUGGGCGUAAAGGGCAUGUAGGCGGUUUAGUAAGCUUGGCGUGAAAGACCACAGCUCAACUGGGAGGGUGCGCCGAAUACUGAUGGACUCGAGUGCGGGAGAGGAAAGUGGAAUUCUAGGUGGAGCGGUGAAAUGCGUAGAGAUCGGGAGGAACACCAGUCGCGUAGGCGCUUUGCUGGCUCACUACUGACGCUGAGGGGCGAAAGCCAGGGGAGCAAACGGGAUUAGAUACCCGUGUAGUC